rnacentral:ribozyme from 1 species
AGAUAUUAAAUCCAAUCGACAGUAUUUAUGAGGUGGAGCAAGAAGGAGCAUGUGAGAAAGAUAGUAUCAAGAAUAACAGAGAGAAAGAGAAUAUUAGUAUGCAGUCAUCUAUUUCUUCUUCUCUCUCUCUCUCUUCUUCUUUUAUCC